GCAAGUCGAGCGGAUGAAGGGAGCUUGCUCUGGAUUCAGCGGCGGACGGGUGAGUAAUGCCUAGGAAUCUGCCUGGUAGUGGGGGAUAACGUCCGGAAACGGGCGCUAAUACCGCAUACGUCCUGAGGGAGAAAGUGGGGGAUCUUCGGACCUCACGCUAUCAGAUGAGCCUAGGUCGGAUUAGCUAGUUGGUGGGGUAAAGGCCUACCAAGGCGACGAUCCGUAACUGGUCUGAGAGGAUGAUCAGUCACACUGGAACUGAGACACGGUCCAGACUCCUACGGGAGGCAGCAGUGGGGAAUAUUGGACAAUGGGCGAAAGCCUGAUCCAGCCAUGCCGCGUGUGUGAAGAAGGUCUUCGGAUUGUAAAGCACUUUAAGUUGGGAGGAAGGGCAGUAAGUUAAUACCUUGCUGUUUUGACGUUACCAACAGAAUAAGCACCGGCUAACUUCGUGCCAGCAGCCGCGGUAAUACGAAGGGUGCAAGCGUUAAUCGGAAUUACUGGGCGUAAAGCGCGCGUAGGUGGUUCAGCAAGUUGGAUGUGAAAUCCCCGGGCUCAACCUGGGAACUGCAUCCAAAACUACUGAGCUAGAGUACGGUAGAGGGUGGUGGAAUUUCCUGUGUAGCGGUGAAAUGCGUAGAUAUAGGAAGGAACACCAGUGGCGAAGGCGACCACCUGGACUGAUACUGACACUGAGGUGCGAAAGCGUGGGGAGCAAACAGGAUUAGAUACCCUGGUAGUCCACGCCGUAAACGAUGUCGACUUGGAGGUUGUGCCCUUGAGGCGUGGCUUCCGGAGCUAACGCGUUAAGUCGACCGCCUGGGGAGUACGGCCGCAAGGUUAAAACUCAAAUGAAUUGACGGGGGCCCGCACAAGCGGUGGAGCAUGUGGUUUAAUUCGAUGCAACGCGAAGAACCUUACCUGGUCUUGACAUCCACGGAAGUUUUCAGAGAUGAGAAUGUGCCUUCGGGAACCGUGAGACAGGUGCUGCAUGGCUGUCGUCAGCUCGUGUUGUGAAAUGUUGGGUUAAGUCCCGCAACGAGCGCAACCCUUAUCCUUUGUUGCCAGCGGUCCGGCCGGGAACUCAAAGGAGACUGCCAGUGAUAAACUGGAGGAAGGUGGGGAUGACGUCAAGUCAUCAUGGCCCUUACGACCAGGGCUACACACGUGCUACAAUGGCGCAUACAAAGAGAAGCGACCUCGCGAGAGCAAGCGGACCUCAUAAAGUGCGUCGUAGUCCGGAUUGGAGUCUGCAACUCGACUCCAUGAAGUCGGAAUCGCUAGUAAUCGUGGAUCAGAAUGCCACGGUGAAUACGUUCCCGGGCCUUGUACACACCGCCCGUCACACCAUGGGAGUGGGUUGCAAAAGAAGUGGGUAGCUUAACCUUCGGGAGGGCGCUUACCACUUUGUGAUUCAUGGCUGGGGUGAAGUCGUAACAAGGUAACCGUAGGGGAACCUGCGGUUG
rnacentral:rRNA from 1 species